AUUGAACGCUGGCGGCAGGCCUAACACAUGCAAGUCGAGCGCGAGGCGGAGGGGUGAGUAAUGUAUGUGGACUGUGCGAUAGGGGGGGAUAACACCUGGAAACGGGAGCUAAUAUCGCAUACGAUCUGAUUAUCCCUAUGUGAUUAGCUAGUAGGUGAGGUAAUGGCUCACCUAGGCGACGAUCCCUAGCUGGUCUGUGAGGAUGAUCAGCCACACUGGGACUGAGACACGGCCCAGACUCCUACGGAGGCAGCAGUGGGGAAUAUUGCACAAUGGGCGCAAGCCUGAUGCAGCCAUGCCGCGUGUAUGAAGAAGGCCCUAGGGUUGUAAAGUACUUUCAGUGGGGAGGCGUUACCGACAGAAGAAGCACCGGCUAACUCCGUGCCAGCAGCCGCGGUAAUAC
rnacentral:rRNA from 1 species